GGGUCAGUAGGUUGGUCGUGCCACCGGUACGUACUGGUCUCACUGAUUCCUCCUUCCUGAAGAACCGUAAUGCCAUUAAUUUGGUGUUGCGGGGAAACAGGACUGUUACUUUGAAAAAAUUAGAGUGUUUAAAGCAAGCUAACGCUUGAAUACACUAGCAUGGAAUAAUGAAAUAGGACGAUCGAUCCUAUUUCGUUGGUUUCUGGGAUUGACGCA
rnacentral:rRNA from 1 species